GCGGCCAUAGGACCCUGAAAGCACUGCAUCCCGUCCGAUCUGCAAAGUUAAGCAGGGUACCGCCUAGCUAGUACUGCGGUGGGGGACCACGCGGGGAAUCCUAGGUGCUGCAGUUU
rnacentral:rRNA from 1 species